ACUGGCAGAUUAUUGCAAAAAGGGCACGGGGCAGAAGGACUAUGUUGUGAGCCUGCGAAAGAAGUUUGUGUGGGGACUGUGGGCAGUGAACGCGUUGGGAACAAUAUGGAAAACUGGGAGCUGCCUUGGAAUCUACAGGGCCGGGUAAGAGAAUGUCCGAAAGAAAAAUGAGCAGGUGCGGGAUGUGCGCAGAGUCAGAGAAGAGUCCAGGGCGCCCGGAGUGGCUCCAGGAACGACGGAAACCCCUCAAGGCUUUUGGGGGCGACUUCAAUCCAACAGGACCCACUCAAGCCAUCCACACUUUCCCCAGCCUCCUCCAAAACAGCACACUUUCCGGCUGAAGAAAAGAAGAAUGGUAUUCACGCAGUUCCCAUUUUACAGAUGAAAACAAGAGGACUUUUUCUGUGAAGUCAAGAAAGUGGUUACAAUGGUACUUUCAGCCUGUCCGAAUUAUGUAUUGCCCCUCCCCUUUUUAUUAAUAACAUUGAAGUGUGAUGGGAAAACCACUGAAGCCGUCAGUUGAAACCUGCUGGGACUUUUUAGCCAUUCUCUUCAACAUAAAGAAUGGGUGUUUUUGGAGGGGGUGAGAGGAAUGGGGAAAUGUUGUCAAAGAGUACAGUGUUUUAGUUGAGACAGGAAGAAUAUAUUUUGUUGAGAUCUACAGCACAGCAUGGUGACUGUAGUUAACAAUGAAGUAUUGUGUAUUUCAAAAUUGCUAAGACAAUAAAUUUCAAA
rnacentral:lncRNA from 1 species